UACGUAGGGUGCGAGCGUUGUCCGGAAUUAUUGGGCGUAAAGAGCUUGUAGGCGGUUUGUCGCGUCUGCUGUGAAAUCUCAAGGCUCAACCUUGAGCUUGCAGUGGGUACGGGCAGACUAGAGUGUGGUAGGGGAGACUGGAAUUCCUGGUGUAGACGGUGAAAUGCGCAGGAUAUCAGGAGGAACACCGAUGGCGAAGGCGGCGCUCUGGGCCGGAACUGACGC
rnacentral:rRNA from 1 species